rnacentral:tRNA from 1 species
GGGGGCGUAGCUCAGAUGGUAGAGCGCUCGCUUAGCAUGCGAGAGGUACUGGGAUCGUUACCCAGCGCCUCCA